GCUGGGUUACAGUAGCAGAAUUGGUGACAUAUGUUUUGCUUCCACAAGGAUGUUAAUGUCAUUGUGGGAUUUGGAUCUGCAUGGCUUUCAGGACACUAUUGUGUUUGAUGGAUCACAACUACUUCUACCUGCAAGUAUAAAUAUGGCAAAUACCAUGGCUUAAAUCUAUUUCUUGACAUCUAUGUCGAGUUUUCUGUUUGUUAUUUUUCUCUGUGUUUCUGUUAUUUGAUAUUGUAAUUAGAUGUGAUUAAAAAGUUGCGUUUCUUCCCUGUUGGCAAAUGUGCUAAAUUACCUAGAUUAUGCUUUUCAUUUAAACAGUGGGCAAAGCAAUAGGGUUUGUACCUUGCCUAGCCAUUGCUAUCUUGGUUUCAGGGUUUUUUUUUAAUGGAAAAAGAUCAGGUAUCUCGGUGUACUGCAAAAGUGUCAAGGGAAAUCUGUUUUGCCAUGUAAUUUGUGAUAGACACUAGUAAAAUAAGAGGUGAUGUUGUGACUUCUAGGGGUCAGUUCAGUUUGCUAAUACUGCACUUUGCAAUGUGUACUGGAAGGCCAGUGUUUCAGUAGUUUGCUAAUGCUUGCUUCUUUGAUAUAAAGGCACGUACAUAUUCUAAUUCUCUGAAUCCACAGGUUAACUUCUGGUGCUAUGGUGUAAUUAAAAUAAAUAGUGCUGUUUUCAAGUGACUUUUAUGGCCAUGAUACUAUGUAAAGUAACUUAAUUUUUGUAAAAGCUUUGGUUGCUUGUCUAUUUUAGGUUCUGAGCUGAAAUUUACCACUACUCAGGAGUUUGGCUUAAGGCCUCAAAAUAGCCUUUAUUUAGAAUAUAAAUAAUGUAUUGGACUUGUACCAACUGUCUGACAAGUGGUGAAGUUCACCUUGGAAGAAUAAAGCUUGCCUUUGUAUAUAGAGUAGCCAUCGUCUCUUUUUCCCCACCCCCAAAAAAGUAAGGUCUAGAGCACUGACUUCCCUGAAGAGCUGUUGCUGCAGUCAAGCUAACAUUCAACUGUACCUUGCGUAAGUGUUUAAGAAAAACAAACAGCUGAGCUGUUAGGUUCUUAAUGUGCUAACUCAGUCUAGCUACAGCAUGUUUGUAACAUAACCAUAUACAUAAUUAGAUCUUAGAACAUCAGUGUGCAUGUGUAUUUAAAGUUAUACAGGUGCAUUAAUGUAUUGCAACAUCUAAAUAACUGUUCAAAGAAGCAUGUAGUCUACAUGAUCAUACCCUUGUCCUCUGAAGGUUCUCAGCUUGUAUUUUAAUCUGCCAUGCUUGGAGAUGCCUGCAGUUCUUAGGAAUUGCCUCAAAAAAAAUCUCAUGUAAACUUUAAGGAGACUUUCUUUUGGGUUUUGAAAGAGAAAUUGUUUCUGUCUGUGAAACAGGCCUCUUUGUGGCAGUGGUCAGGUGUAAUAAACCAGUAAGUUUUUUUGUGGCAUAGUGCUGUAUUAGCACAUGCAGGACUUGGCAGAAACUAGACCACUGGCUGGAUAAAAAUGUUUCACUUACUGAGGGACCAUGUAUAUUUUGCUAUUUUGUAUUAUUGUCACUUCUGCUGGAGAAUUCUCCAGAGGAGACACAACUUUAAUUUUGGAGAUGUCUAAGGGGGAAAACUUGGUAAAACUCAAUUUUUUAUGGAAGCCCUAGAUGUUUCUUGAUAUUUCCUCUUUUGUUAAGGGUGUGCAUACACAAACACAAGGUGACUUAUUUUAACUGAUGACAAAGUCAACUGUUGGCUUUUUUUAACUUGUAGCCGGCAUAUCCAAAAGCGAUUUUUAUGAAGGUACAGCAAAAUGUGUACAAACAUAUAAUCAGCUUUAUCAUACACCUUUGGGGAAGCUGUGCAAUAUGAUUUUCUGAUGUUCUGAAACCUUGAAUAUAUAGAAGAUGAGUUGCCAAAAUAUACAGAAAUCACAAAGAAUUAUGAAGUUUGGUAGUAGUUUUUACAGGUUUACAUGUAAUUAACUGUACUUUGCAGAAGGAAAGCUUGUCUGUUGUAUUUUUGUCCAGGGUUGAUGCAAGAGAUUUCUAACGGUUAUUUCUCAAGCAGCGUUGUCAGCUCUGCUGUGAGUACAGUUCAAGCACUUCUUUAAUUCUCUUCAGAAAAAUUGGCUAAAUAUAGCUCAGAUUAACUAUUUAAACUGUGCCGCUCAAAUAGUUUUGCCCCAGAUGAGGUGGUUGGCACAUGCAAACCUUUUUCAGCUAGUCUAUGGCAGAAAUUACUUUUGCUUUAUUUCCUAAAGGUAAGGACCUGGAGGAAGGUGGAAAUGCAUUUAUGUGUUUUCAGGUUUAGUCUGUGAUGGUAAUACCAGCUGCUUUAUGAUUGCUAUUCCAGUUUUCUCCCAAUUAUUUUUAUAGUUUAUACAUUUUAGUCUUUCGUGUAAUGAAGAAUGCAUUUUUUUCUACUGCAUGCAAUAUAAAUAUUUGAUAGAUGCUUUUCUAGAUGAUAUUCGGAAAGGUAGAAGAAUAUCAUGAAAGCAGGCCUGUUCACAUUUUGUAUUUCACGUUUACUUUAAGGUACUUUGUUUAUAUUAUCUCCUCUGUGUUAGGUAACUUCAUUACAAAAGAAUACCACAGAGCAAUGCCUUAUUAACAACAGCAAGUAAACUUCUCUUUCUGCCUCUUCCAUGAGCUGAGCUUAAUGGUCACAACUGGUUAUAGUACCAAAAUAUGUCAUUUAAAUGAAUGGGAAAUUUAAAUUCUGAAUGAAAGCAGCAACUGUGAUGCGGUGUUUGUGUUUUGGUGGGGUUGGUUUGGUUUUUUUUUUUGUUGGAUUUUGUUUUGGUGGUGGGUGUUUUGGGUUUCGUUUUGUGACUAUUCCUGUGUGGUGCUAUUUUAUAAGCAAGGAGUGUGUGGCAAGGAUGGAAUUUUUGAAAGGGACUGAAUAUUGCCCUAGCUCUGCUUUCAUUCCCUUAAAAGAAGUAGGGUCCUGCUUGAGUCUUUGUGAACUGGCUGUCUAAACUGGGGUUUUAUCAUAUUUACAUCUCCAGAAGAAAUUUCUUGCUAGAAAGCAAGAAGACAUUAAGACUGAAAAAUUCAUAUUGUUGCUUCUAAAACACAAAUAUCUUUCAGCAAAUACUUGAGGAAUUCCUUGUUAGAAUAAACUGCAGAAGCCUAACUGUUUAUAGUCAAGUUCCUUAAACAACCGUAGAUUCUACUGAUUGUAUGCAGCAAUUUAAAUAAUAUGCUUAGCAGCCAGUCUGCACGUAUAUAAAAAAACAAGUUUGGGGUUUUUUCCUGAAUAAUGUUUGUAUCUCAUUGUACCUGCUUGCAAGUUGGUCCUGGCUUUUAUGAAGUCGUAUAUAUUGUCUCAAGAACUCCAAUCUUAAAUUUCUAUUUGUAUCUUCAAUUUUUGUUCAUCAAACAUAUUGCUACAUUCCUUUGAGACUACGUGGCUACUUUUUAACUGGACUUGAAGUUACAACGCAUCUCUCACAGAUACACUUUUUCCUGAGAGGAUAGUUCAGGAGCGUGUUUGAAUGACAAUAUGAUGUAAAAAAACCUGCUCAGUUCACCUGCUUUUAGGUAGUGGGAGAGAGGCUCUUUCCUGUUCUAUUAAUUUUUUUUUAUUUUUUUUUCUUGAGGACUGUGUCAACCAAAUAAAUAAGAAUGAAGUAUUCAUGAAGUCUUUUUUUCAUAGUUACAGGUUGGGGUUUUUUUCCCAGUUUGGCUUUCUAGGACAAGAGAAAACACUUGCUUUCUAUACGCCUGCCAGAAAGUUGGGGCUUUCUGUCUAUUUUUAAGUGCUUUCUUUAUGUCAGUAAUGGAAAAAGCACAGAAUCCUUUACUUGCAAAAGCGUAAAAUAGCGUUUAUCAGGAAGGGUGCUUUAUCUCCUAGUAAGUGCCACACUCGCAAUAAGAAACUACCUUUCUGGCUUCAUUACAUGUACAAGUAUGUGGGACAAAUUCACUUGUAGCAUAAUUCUACUGAACUAGAUUUUGUCGAGUCUUUCACAGUAGUGUUCUACCUCUAAACUAGAAUCUGAAAAAUGAUUAGGUGUUGAUUUCUCUUUCUACUUCUCACUAUUUUCUGUGAAGAAUGGUGGAUAGUUAAAUUGGUAUAGUUGGUAUAUUUUCUGUAAGUGUUUACAUUUCUGGAUUUGUUUCUUAAAUAUUUUGUUUGUACCUCUGAGUUUUGAAAUUUAAAUAAAUUAUUUGUAUGUUUAUUGAAA